UUUCCCAUUUAUUUACUGCCGUGCAGUCUCAAUGCUAUGAGCAGUUAUACGCGUGGGAUAGAGUAUAAUAAGGCCAUUGUAAAUGUGUGAUGAAACAACCGAUGUUUCACCAUCAUUGGUAGGGCUGGACAUCU
ensembl:snoRNA